rnacentral:rRNA from 1 species
GACGAACGCUGGCGGCGUGCCUAACACAUGCAAGUCGAGCGGAGACAGUGGAGGAGCUUGCUCCGAAAUGUUUUAGCGGCGGACGGGUGAGUAACGCGUGAGCAACCUUUCUCUCAGUGGGGAAUAACACAGGGAAACCUGUACUAAUACCGCAUGAGACCACAAUGCCGCAUGGCAUAGGGGUCAAAGAUUUAUUGCUGAGAGGUGGGCUCGCGUCCGAUUAGAUAGUUGGUGAGGUAACGGCUCACCAAGUCGACGAUCGGUAGCCGACCUGAGAGGGUGAUCGGCCACAUUGGGACUGAGACACGGCCCAA